rnacentral:piRNA from 1 species
UAAAAUAAGAGGCAAGCAGACAAACUAGG